GAUGAACGCUGGCGGCGUGCCUAAUACAUGCAAGUCGAGCGAACAGAUGAGGAGCUUGCUCCUCUGACGUUAGCGGCGGACGGGUGAGUAACACGUGGAUAACCUACCUAUAAGACUGGGAUAACUUCGGGAAACCGGAGCUAAUACCGGAUAAUAUAUUGAACCGCAUGGUUCAAUAGUGAAAGACGGUUUUGCUGUCACUUAUAGAUGGAUCCGCGCCGCAUUAGCUAGUUGGUAAGGUAACGGCUUACCAAGGCAACGAUGCGUAGCCGACCUGAGAGGGUGAUCGGCCACACUGGAACUGAGACACGGUCCAGACUCCUACGGGAGGCAGCAGUAGGGAAUCUUCCGCAAUGGGCGAAAGCCUGACGGAGCAACGCCGCGUGAGUGAUGAAGGUCUUCGGAUCGUAAAACUCUGUUAUUAGGGAAGAACAAAUGUGUAAGUAACGAUGCACGUCUGGACGGUACCUAAGCAGAAAGCCACGGCUAACUACGG
rnacentral:rRNA from 1 species